AGGCUCAAGCCGCAUGGACACCGUGCCAUAUGGAUAUGUUGGAAGUGGUGUUACCGUGUCCCAGCAACUUCCUCAAGUCAAAAAUGCUUUUGGACCACAAGCUGGAGAAGGUUACUUACCUUCUGGACCGCAAUCUGGGCUUUCCUCGGGAGGUACAUAUAUGAUGUAUGAUAGGGAAAGCGGAAGACCAUCACACCAUCCUCCUCAACCUCAACAACCUCCACACCAUUCUCCUCAACCCCAACAACCACACUUCAACCAAAGUGGAUACCCUCCAGCCAAUGCAUCUCUUCAGAUUCCUCAGCAUCCAUCAGGCCCCCACGUUAUCCCCAGGAAUCCGAACCAUCCGCAUUUUAUGCGCAAUCAAAACCAAAACCACCCUUACGGUGAAAUAGUUGAGAA
rnacentral:misc_RNA from 1 species